AAUUUCCUUUUUAUUAAAUCUUGUUUUUAAAGAUUAUUCAUUCUUUGUUGUUGUCAGUACAUUAUUAUAGAAUAACUUAUGUAUCAUAAUUUACAUGCUAAUUCCAAUUGAUAUUUCAAUUAAAUUUUAAUAAAUAAAUAAAUAAAUUUCUAUAUCUGCAAA